CCUACGGGUGGCUGCAGUGGGGAAUAUUGGGCAAUGGGCGCAAGCCUGACCCAGCAACGCCGCGUGAAGGAAGAAGGCUUUCUGGUUGUAAACUUCUUUUAAGAGGGAAGAGCAGAAGACGGUACCUCUUGAUUAAGCCACGGCUAACUACGUGCCAGCAGCCGCGGUAAUACGUAGGUGGCAAGCGUUGUCCGGAUUUCCUGGGUGUAAAGGGCGUGCAGCCGGGAAGACAAGUCAGAUGUGAAAUCCCGCGGCUCAACCGCGGAACUGCAUUUGAAACUGUUUUUCUUGAGUACCGGAGAGGUAAGCGGAAUGCCUGGUGUAGCGGGGAAAUGCGUAGAGAUAAGGAAGAACACCAGUGGCGAAGGCGGAUGACUGAACGGCAACUGACGGUGAGGCGCGAAAGCGUGGGGAGCAAACAGGAUUAGAUACCCGGGUAGUC
rnacentral:rRNA from 1 species